AUGCUCAUUUUGGCAGCAUAUAUGCUAAAAUUGAAAUAUUACAGAGAAGAUUAGCAUGGCCCCUGCCUAAAGAUGAUAUUAAUUCAUGAAUCAUUCCAUGGUUUU
rnacentral:snRNA from 1 species